GAUGAACGCUGGCGGCGUGCCUAAUACAUGCAAGUCGAGCGAACGGACGAGAAGCUUGCUUCUCUGAUGUUAGCGGCGGACGGGUGAGUAACACGUGGAUAACCUACCUAUAAGACUGGGAUAACUUCGGGAAACCGGAGCUAAUACCGGAUAAUAUUUUGAACCGCAUGGUUCAAAAGUGAAAGACGGUCUUGCUGUCACUUAUAGAUGGAUCCCGGCUGCAUUAGCUAGUUGGUAAGGUAACGGCUUACCAAGGCAACGAUGCAUAGCCGACCUGAGAGGGUGAUAGCCCACCUGAGAGCUGAGACACGGUCAUGGCUCCUACGGGAGGCCGCAGUAGGGAAUGUUCCGCAGUGGGCGAAAGCCUGACGGAGCAACGGCGCGCGAGUGAUGAAGGUCUUCGGAUCGUAAAACUCUGUUAUUAGGGAAGAACAUAUGUGUAAGUAACUGUGCACAUCUUGACGGUACCUAAUCAGAAAGCCACGGCUAACUACGUG
rnacentral:rRNA from 1 species